rnacentral:rRNA from 1 species
GGUUUGACAUGCACGGAAAAUCUCGUAAAAAUACAGGGUCCGUACGGGGCACUUGCACAAGUAGUGCAUCGCUGUCGUCAUCUCGUGUCGUGAUAUAUUGGGUGAUGUCCCGCAACAAGCGCCACCCCCCUUCCAUGUUGCCCGAACAUUUCGGUGGGGACUCAUAGGAGACAGCCGGGGUCAACUCGGAGGAAGGUGGGGAUGACGUCUAGUCAUCAUGCCCCUUAUAUCCAGGGCUGCACACCUGCUACAAUGGCCCGUACAAAGGGCUGCGAUACCGCCAGGUGGAGCGAGUCCCAAAAAACCGGUUUCAGUUCGGAAUGGGGUUUGCAAAUUGACCUCAAGAAGUUGGGGUUGACAGUUAUUGGUGGUUAGCAA